rnacentral:rRNA from 1 species
AAAUUGAAGAGUUUGAUCAUGGCUCAGAUUGAACGCUGGCGGCAGGCCUAACACAUGCAAGUCGAACGGUAGCACAGAGAGCUUGCUCUCGGGUGACGAGUGGCGGACGGGUGAGUAAUGUCUGGGAAACUGCCUGAUGGAGGGGGAUAACUACUGGAAACGGUGGCUAAUACCGCAUAACGUCGCAAGACCAAAGAGGGGGACCUUCGGGCCUCUUGCCAUCAGAUGUGCCCAGAUGGGAUUAGCUUGUUGGUGAGGUAACGGCUCACCAAGGCGACGAUCCCUAGCUGGUCUGAGAGGAUGACCAGCCACACUGGAACUGAGACACGGUCCAGACUCCUACGGGAGGCAGCAGUGGGGAAUAUUGCACAAUGGGCGCAAGCCUGAUGCAGCCAUGCCGCGUGUAUGAAGAAGGCCUUCGGGUUGUAAAGUACUUUCAGCGGGGAGGAAGGUGUUGUGGUUAAUAACCGCAGCAAUUGACGUUACCCGCAGAAGAAGCACCGGCUAACUCCGUGCCAGCAGCCGCGGUAAUACGGAGGGUGCAAGCGUUAAUCGGAAUUACUGGGCGUAAAGCGCACGCAGGCGGUCUGUCAAGUCGGAUGUGAAAUCCCCGGGCUCAACCUGGGAACUGCAUUCGAAACUGGCAGGCUUGAGUCUUGUAGAGGGGGGUAGAAUUCCAGGUGUAGCGGUGAAAUGCGUAGAGAUCUGGAGGAAUACCGGUGGCGAAGGCGGCCCCCUGGACAAAGACUGACGCUCAGGUGCGAAAGCGUGGGGAGCAAACAGGAUUAGAUACCCUGGUAGUCCACGCCGUAAACGAUGUCUACUUGGAGGUUGUGCCCUUGAGGCGUGGCUUCCGGAGCUAACGCGUUAAGUAGACCGCCUGGGGAGUACGGCCGCAAGGUUAAAACUCAAAUGAAUUGACGGGGGCCCGCACAAGCGGUGGAGCAUGUGGUUUAAUUCGAUGCAACGCGAAGAACCUUACCUGGUCUUGACAUCCACGGAACUUUCCAGAGAUGGAUUGGUGCCUUCGGGAACCGUGAGACAGGUGCUGCAUGGCUGUCGUCAGCUCGUGUUGUGAAAUGUUGGGUUAAGUCCCGCAACGAGCGCAACCCUUAUCCUUUGUUGCCAGCGGUCCGGCCGGGAACUCAAAGGAGACUGCCAGUGAUAAACUGGAGGAAGGUGGGGAUGACGUCAAGUCAUCAUGGCCCUUACGACCAGGGCUACACACGUGCUACAAUGGCGCAUACAAAGAGAAGCGACCUCGCGAGAGCAAGCGGACCUCAUAAAGUGCGUCGUAGUCCGGAUUGGAGUCUGCAACUCGACUCCAUGAAGUCGGAAUCGCUAGUAAUCGUGGAUCAGAAUGCCACGGUGAAUACGUUCCCGGGCCUUGUACACACCGCCCGUCACACCAUGGGAGUGGGUUGCAAAAGAAGUAGGUAGCUUAACCUUCGGGAGGGCGCUUACCACUUUGUGAUUCAUGAUUGGGGUGAAGUCGUAACAAGGUAACCGUAGGGGAACCUGCGGUUGGAUCACCUCCUUA